rnacentral:rRNA from 1 species
UACGAAGGGGGCUAGCGUUGCUCGGAAUUACUGGGCGUAAAGCGCACGUAGGCGGCUUCUUAAGUCGGUGGUGAAAUCCUGGAGCUCAACUCCAGAACUGCCUUCGAUACUGGGAAGCUCGAGUACCGGAGAGGUUGGUGGAAUUCUCGGUGUAGAGGUGAAAUUCGUAGAUAUCGAGAGGAACACCGGUGGCGAAGGCGGCCAACUGGACGAGUACUGACGCUGAGACACGAAAGCGUGGGGAGCAAACAGG